CUUGAAGGAGUCAUUUGGAGUUUCUGUAGUAGGAAUAGCCGUGCAAAGUGAACUACGAAGUUGAAGAUCAAGGUAAAAUAAUUCAUCUUAGUAGCAAACAAGGAGGAGAAGACGUGAUUGAAGAAAUUGUGUUUCCAUUUUCGCUGUCCCAUUUUGAGGUUGACGAGGUUCAUAUAGUACUGGCGACGGAUAUUUAUUGAAACUAUUUUGACGCUUAAUUGCAUUCGCAAGCACAUCCAUAUUGGAGCUAAGGUGAAAAAUGACACUGUAAUUUUGUUAAUAUUUUUUGUAUUGAUGUACUAUUGUGAAUAAUGUGCAUGCUGCUGCAAAUAUUAUUAUUUGUAGAUAAAUGAUUGUUAUCGUAUGAUGUGAAAAAAAAUUAUAUAAAGCCGAAAGAAAUUAAAUGUUUUACUCAUAUGAUAUUAAAAUGUUAUUAUCGUACUAUUAUGUUUACUGGUUGUUUGGAUAGCGAGUAAUUCCCAUGCGGUAUGUUAUUUUUUAUAUUGAUGUACUGUCAUGCCGCUGCAAAAAUUAUUAUUUGUAAAUAAAUGAAUUUUAUCGUAUGAUAUGAAAACAUUAUAUCAUGCCGGAAGAAAUUAGAUAUUUUACUCAUAUGAUAUUUAAAUGUUAUUAUCGUAAUAUUAUGUUUAGUGGUUGUU